rnacentral:rRNA from 1 species
ACUUUAAGCGAGGAGGAGGCUACCGAGAUUAAUACUCUUGGAUGUGGACGUUACUCGCAGAAUAAGCACCGGCUAACUCUGUGCCAGCAGCCGCGGUAAUACAGAGGGUGCAAGCGUUAAUCGGAUUUACUGGGCGUAAAGCGCGCGUAGGUGGCCAAUUAAGUCAAAUGUGAAAUCCCCGAGCUUAACUUGGGAAUUGCAUUCGAUACUGGUUGGCUAGAGUAUGGGAGAGGAUGGUAGAAUUCCAGGUGUAGCGGUGAAAUGCGUAGAGAUCUGGAGGAAUACCGAUGGCGAAGGCAGCCAUCUGGCCUAAUACUGACACUGAGGUGCGAAAGCAUGGGGAGCAAACAGGAUUAGAUACCCUGGUAGUCCAUGCCGUAAACGAUGUCUACUAGCCGUUGGGGCCUUUGAGGCUUUAGUGGCGC